AUUGAACGCUGGCGGCAGGCCUAACACAUGCAAGUCGAACGAGUGGCGGACGGGUGAGUAAUGUCUGGGACACUGCCCGAUGGAGGGGGAUAACUACUGGAAACGGUAGCUAAUACCGCAUACCAUCGGAUGUGCCCAGAUGGGAUUAGCUAGUUGGUGGGGUAACGGAUCACCUAGGCAACGAUCCCUAGCUGGGCUGAGAGGAUGACCAGCCACACUGGAACGGAGACGCGGUCCAGACUCCUCUGUGAGGCAGCAGUGGGGAAUAUGGCACAAGUGGCGCAAGCCGGAUGCAGCCAUGCCGCGUGUAUGAAGAAGGCCUUCGGGUUGUAAAGUACUUUCAGCGAGGAGGCGUUACUCGCAGAAGAAGCACCGGCUAACUCCGUGCCAGCAGCCGCGGUAAUAC
rnacentral:rRNA from 1 species